GGGAAUAGGGUUCUGGUCUAAUGUAGUGCACUAUAUAGGGAAUAGGGCUCUGGUCUAAAGUAGUGCACUAUAUAGGGAAUAGGGUUCUGGUCUAAUGUAGUGCACUAUAUAGGGGAAUAGGGUUCUGGUCUAAAGUAGUGCACUAUAUAGGGAAUAGGGUUCCAGUCUAAAGUAUGCACUAUAUAGGGAAUAGGGUUCCGGUCUAAAGUAUGCACUAUAUAGGGAAUAGGGUUCUGGUCUAAUGUAGUGCACUAUAGGGAAUAGGGUUCUGGUCUAAAGUAGUGCACUAUAUAUAGG